rnacentral:rRNA from 1 species
UAGGGAAUCUUCGGCAAUGGACGAAAGUCUGACCGAGCAACGCCGCGUGAGUGAAGAAGGUUUUCGGAUCGUAAAACUCUGUUGUUAGAGAAGAACAAGGACGUUAGUAACUGAACGUCCCCUGACGGUAUCUAACCAGAAAGCCACGGCUAACUACGUGCCAGCAGCCGCGGUAAUACGUAGGUGGCAAGCGUUGUCCGGAUUUAUUGGGCGUAAAGCGAGCGCAGGCGGUUUCUUAAGUCUGAUGUGAAAGCCCCCGGCUCAACCGGGGAGGGUCAUUGGAAACUGGGAGACUUGAGUGCAGAAGAGGGGAGUGGAAUUCCAUGUGUAGCGGUGAAAUGCGUAGAUAUAUGGAGGAACACCAGUGGCGAAGGCGGCUCUCUGGACUGUAGCUGACGCUGAGGCUCGAAAGCGUGGGGAGCAAACAGG